UCCUGUUGGCUUACGACCAUAUCAUCCUGAGCCUGUUUGACCUCGGAAACUAAUUGGGGCAGCCUGGGUAGUACUUGGAUGGGAGACCAACAGGAAACACUAAGUACUCCAGGAG
rnacentral:rRNA from 1 species